AAUUAUGGUGGGGCGUGCAGGGGCAUCGCAAGAUGCGCCGGGUUCUAUGUUGACCGGUUACGCCAACCCUGUACGUCUCACCACCUCU
rnacentral:antisense_RNA from 25 species